GACGAACGCUGGCGGCGUGCUUAACACAUGCAAGUCGAACGAAGUGGCGAAGGGGUGAGUAAUACGUGGGUAACCUGACCUCCUUUUUGGGAUAAGCCUCGGAAACGGGGUCUAAUACCGAAUAAAGGGGGAUGGGCUCGCGGCCUAUCAGCUUGUUGGUGGGGUGAUGGCUUACCAAGGCGGUGACGGGUAGCCGGCCUGAGAGGGUGACCGGGGACAUGGGGACGGACGUACGGCCCAGGCUCCUACGGGGUGGGGCAGUGGGGGAUAUGGCAGAAUGGGCGAAGGCCUGUGGCGGCGAGGCGGCGUGGGGUAUUAAGGCUUUAAGGUUCUAAACGUCUGUCGCUAUCGAGCGGGUAGGUGAAGAAGAAGCGCCGGCUAACUACGUGCCAGCCGCCGCGGUAAUAC
rnacentral:rRNA from 1 species